AUAUAAAGUAGUCAUCAAUCUCAUUAUCAGAGAAGAGCAUAUAAGAUUUUAGGAGGUGGAGUCUAACAAGAUACUUUAGGUCAUCAGGGGCAUGGUUCUGAUGAAACUGUAGGAUCCAGCGCUCUCCUCACUCUGGCCUUGAGGACAUCUGCCACAUAGCUCGUCAGGAAGCCAGUGGAGGUGGAACCAGAGGUGAGACCCAGUGCUUUCUGAAGCAUUGGUCUGAAGGCAGCAGGGCCUUGUGAGAAGGACUCUAGACAGUGGCACUGUCAUAUUUUAACCAUUGCAUGGUUCACCUGGACAAAUCUUGCCUCCUUAAUCCC